UACGGAGGGUGCGAGCGUUAUCCGGAAUUAUUGGGUUUAAAGGGUCCGUAGGCGGUCUAUUAAGUCAGAGGUGAAAUCUUGUAGCUCAACUAUAAAAUUGCCUUUGAAACUAUUAGACUUGAAACAAUUUGACGUGAGUGGAAUGAGUAGUGUAGCGGUGAAAUGCAUAGAUAUUACUCAGAACACCGAUAGCGAAGGCAGCUCACGAAGAUUGAUUUGACGCUGAUGGACGAAAGCGUGGGGAGCGAAC
rnacentral:rRNA from 1 species